CGUUGUUUUUUACAGUGCAGCGUGUACACGUGAAGGGACAGCUUGAGGCAGACAGUUUGGGGCAAGGGAGCCGGUCCGAGCAAGAAAAAAGUCAAGAGAAGAGCAGACAUCUCAGCAACACGGCUUGCAGUGGAGCUGAAGAAUGCUGGUAGCGAUGUGUUUUCACAGCUCACCCUGCAAGACUCCCAUGCAGUUUCCUGGAGAAGAUGGACUCCUGCCCUCCAGAAUUUUUUUCCAUGUGCUCAUGGAUGAGCAAAAGAACUAGAGGUCAUCCUUCCUUCCUUCACUCACUGAGACCUCCAGCCGCUUCCGAAGCUUUCACACAUUAGCCCACUGACUGUUGGAGGAAGUCCCAGGCCUCAAAAGAGUGUGCAGAAGGAAAAAAGGUUCAUUCCUAUGUCAAGCAAGCUGGGUGAGUCUCUCCAAACAACUCCUUCAUUCGUGAUGGAGCACACUGCAGCCGACUAAUGCUUUGACUCUAAGUGUUUUAACAGGCUGAGAAGGUUUCCAAGUUUUAGGAUCACAAGGUGGAUAUAUGAUCAGUGUGAACUACAGAAUAGCAUCAAAAACAGCAUGAAGGGUGGUGGAAACAAAAGGGAACCAUGUGAAACUUCACCCAGGAAAGGGAUGACAAACUUAGCAGGAAAGUUACAGGGAUAAAAAAUUGUAUUAAAAGUUAGUCACAAGAUAAAGGUGACAGAGUUGAGGUCAAACAUACCAAUCAUAUCAAAAUACUUACAUAAAAGAAAGAUUUUCAGUUUUGCUUACAAAGCAAAAUCCAACAUUCUGCUGUGUGCAAGAGAUACCCCUAAAACAAGAGGUCCCGAGGUUAAAAAUAAAAGGAUGGACAGAAAUAUUAAAUGCAGAUUAAAACCUCGAAGUAGAGUUGCAGUCUUGAUAUCUGACAAGGUGGAAUUCAAACCACAAAGCAUUAUGGAGCCAAAGAAAGGUUAGAGGCAACAGUUCACAAGGAAGCCUAUCAAUUGUUAAUAUUUAUGCAACUAACAAUUGGAGAUGCAGGGAUGCAGGGGAUAUAGAAAGCCACUAAUAGGUGAUUUAAAUACAUAUCUCUCAUCCCAGCAAGAUCAAGUAAACAGUAAAGAUAUCAGAGAUUGACACUCAUAACCAGUAAGGUAGCUCUUAGAGGUCUGUGUGGAAAUCUAAACCUCAGUAGUAGAGAAAACAGCCUCUUCUCAAGUGACCAUACCUUGGGCCACAAAGAAAACCUCAGUAAAUUCCAAAUAACAGAAAGAAUAGUCUUUGAUUAAAUACAACUGAAACUAAUAAUUAUUAGCAAAUAGAAAAACAAAGACCACUUCAGCUGAAAAUUAAAAACCAAUCAUGUUAAUAAACAGCUGUUGGUCAGAGGUAGAAGGAUCACAUGCAAUUAUAGAAUUUCUUGAAAAUGAUAAUGAAAAUACAAAUA